GAAAUCACUCAAAGACUAAAAGAGUAAAGAACAGAAGCAAAAUAACUCAAAAAAGAAAAGAGAAAUCACUCAAACACUAAAAGAGUAAAGAACAGAAGCAAAAUAACUCAAAAAAGAAAAGAGAAAUCACUCAAACACUAAAAGAGUAAAGAACAGAAGCGGAACCAAAAACAAGCGGAACCAAAAAACAAGCCCAACAAGAGGGGACGGAAAAGAGUGGAACGCAGACAGGAAAUGACUAAGCGGAAAACACAAACAAGGAAGUGGAGUGGAGAUGACCAAGCGGGAAACACAAACACAGAAGAGGAACCAAAAGACCAACAGAGGAACCAAAACAAACCACAAUUGAAGAAAAGCAACGGAAAGAGGAACAGCUACGAGACAGAAUAAACAAGAGAAGAUUUUGUUUGAAAGAAAAGCAUCUUGGGGAAACGACAAACGGAAGGACAAGAAGUCCAACAGACACAGUGAGUAAGCAGUGCCUGAAGAAGGCUAAACCAAGCCGAAACGUCGCGCGCGAAAAGCUUACUCGGGGGAAUGAUGCUGGACUGAUGUGGGGGGUGCCAUUAAAUGUAUAUGUGUAUGUAUUUAUUUUGGGGCGGACAUGCCAUUUUUUAUUUGAUGGACAGGGGGCGCCAAAUUUGGUUAGGGGAAUGGUGAAAAGACAAAGAAAGAUGUGGAACUAAAAUAAAUUGAACCUAAAUUAAGGAGGAAUUGAACCUAAAUUAAGGAUAAGAAAGAACAAAAUGAUACCAAAGUCAAAAUGAGGACAGACAAACUUAAAACCUAAAUUUGGAGGAUGGACGGAACAAAUUGUAAUUAAUGGAAGGAGGUUGGCACGCCAAAUUCGGCUAAUUAGAAGACAAAUAAAAUGAAAAGUCUAAAUUUAGAAAACUAAGAAAAACAAAACAAAGACAAAAAGUCACAAACAUAAAGUCAAAUAAGGACAAAGGGUGAUCAAAAGCAAUUUUAUUCACAAAAAAACAAAUGGAAGUCAAAUAAGACAAAAAUUAAAGUCAAAUAAGGACACAGGAUGAUCAAAAGCAACAAAAAACAAACUGAAGUCAAACAAGACAAAAAAUAAAGUCGAAUAAGGACACAGAGUGAUCAAAAGCAAUUUUAUUAACAAAAAAACAAAUGGAAGUCAAACAAGACAAAAAAUAAAGUCAAAUAAGGACACAGGGUGAUAACAAAAGACAAAUUGAAGUCAAAUAAGACAAAAAGGUCAAAACAAACAUAAAACCAAAUACGGAACAAUUGAAGUCAAAUAAGACAACAAAAAGGUCAAAACAAACAUAAAACCAAAUACGGAACAAUUGAAGUCAAAUAAGACAACAAAAAGGUCAAAACAAACAUAAAACCAAAUUGAAGUAACUCAAAUCAGAGUACAUUAAAGGGGAAUUCUUCCGCGUGUCUCAGUGGUGGGGCCGGGCGGUUGCGUAGUGUGGAGCUUGGGGGAUGGACAGUGCAUUUCCUUCCUCUCGGGGGCGCUCGCGUCCCCAGAGGGGGAGGCUCGGAUUCCCUUCCCUAACCUCGCCAGUGCCUCCCCCUUGCUCUCUUCUGCCCGAACCCCUCCCUUGGAUCCCGCGCCAUUGGCCUGGAUUCGGUGGGGUCCCUCGCCUGCGUGCUCGUCCCCCGGCCCUGGCCCUGGUCGCCUUGUCCCGCCUUCCGGACCUUACCUAUUGGAGUCGCGCCGCCAGAGAGCCUAAGCCGCGUGAGUGGAGUCGCGCCGCCGGAGAGCCGUAAGCCGCGUGAGUGGAGUCGCGCCGCCAGGGAGCCGUAAGACGCGUGAAUGGAGUCGCGCCGCCAGAGAGCCGUAAGCCGCGUGAGCUGGAGUCGUAGCUGGGAUCCGAGGGAUCCAUCCGCAACAGAGGAGGUGAUGCCGGACGAGCACGUGAACCAACAAAUUGGACCUUAGUCAGGUUGGUGGAAUGAGUGUGGCUGGAGUUGGCGCCAGUGGGGGGGGUCGCGUUGUGGGGGGAUUCCUGCCGGCUCCUCCUUGGAGGACCGGAUGCCUCACCCACUCCGGAUCCUAACCAUAACCUCAGAGGGGUCCAGCCCUAACCUUAAAUUUGGAUCUGCGCAACCCCAGUUACGCCAUUAAAUUCGGGGAAUAACCCGAACCCUAGGGCCUCUCCCAAUGGGGCGAAAAAUUCAAAAACUCAAAAAAGAAAGGAGAAAUCACUCAAAGACUAAAAGAGUAAAGAACAGAAGCAAAAUAACUCAAAAAAGAAAAGAGAAAUCACUCAAACACUAAAAGAGUAAAGAACAGAAGCAAAAUAACUCAAAAAAGAAAAGAGAAAUCACUCAAACACUAAAAGAGUAAAGAACAGAAGCGGAACCAAAAACAAGCGGAACCAAAAAACAAGCCCAACAAGAGGGGACGGAAAAGAGUGGAACGCAGACAGGAAAUGACUAAGCGGAAAACACAAACAAGGAAGUGGAGUGGAGAUGACCAAGCGGGAAACACAAACACAGAAGAGGAACCAAAAGACCAACAGAGGAACCAAAACAAACCACAAUUGAAGAAAAGCAACGGAAAGAGGAACAGCUACGAGACAGAAUAAACAAGAGAAGAUUUUGUUUGAAAGAAAAGCAUCUUGGGGAAACGACAAACGGAAGGACAAGAAGUCCAACAGACACAGUGAGUAAGCAGUGCCUGAAGAAGGCUAAACCAAGCCGAAACGUCGCGCGCGAAAAGCUUACUCGGGGGAAUGAUGCUGGACUGAUGUGGGGGGUGCCAUUAAAUGUAUAUGUGUAUGUAUUUAUUUUGGGGCGGACAUGCCAUUUUUUAUUUGAUGGACAGGGGGCGCCAAAUUUGGUUAGGGGAAUGGUGAAAAGACAAAGAAAGAUGUGGAACUAAAAUAAAUUGAACCUAAAUUAAGGAGGAAUUGAACCUAAAUUAAGGAUAAGAAAGAACAAAAUGAUACCAAAGUCAAAAUGAGGACAGACAAACUUAAAACCUAAAUUUGGAGGAUGGACGGAACAAAUUGUAAUUAAUGGAAGGAGGUUGGCACGCCAAAUUCGGCUAAUUAGAAGACAAAUAAAAUGAAAAGUCUAAAUUUAGAAAACUAAGAAAAACAAAACAAAGACAAAAAGUCACAAACAUAAAGUCAAAUAAGGACAAAGGGUGAUCAAAAGCAAUUUUAUUCACAAAAAAACAAAUGGAAGUCAAAUAAGACAAAAAUUAAAGUCAAAUAAGGACACAGGAUGAUCAAAAGCAACAAAAAACAAACUGAAGUCAAACAAGACAAAAAAUAAAGUCGAAUAAGGACACAGAGUGAUCAAAAGCAAUUUUAUUAACAAAAAAACAAAUGGAAGUCAAACAAGACAAAAAAUAAAGUCAAAUAAGGACACAGGGUGAUAACAAAAGACAAAUUGAAGUCAAAUAAGACAAAAAGGUCAAAACAAACAUAAAACCAAAUACGGAACAAUUGAAGUCAAAUAAGACAACAAAAAGGUCAAAACAAACAUAAAACCAAAUUGAAGUAACUCAAAUCAGAGUACAUUAAAGGGGAAUUCUUCCGCGUGUCUCAGUGGUGGGGCCGGGCGGUUGCGUAGUGUGGAGCUUGGGGGAUGGACAGUGCAUUUCCUUCCUCUCGGGGGCGCUCGCGUCCCCAGAGGGGGAGGCUCGGAUUCCCUUCCCUAACCUCGCCAGUGCCUCCCCCUUGCUCUCUUCUGCCCGAACCCCUCCCUUGGAUCCCGCGCCAUUGGCCUGGAUUCGGUGGGGUCCCUCGCCUGCGUGCUCGUCCCCCGGCCCUGGCCCUGGUCGCCUUGUCCCGCCUUCCGGACCUUACCUAUUGGAGUCGCGCCGCCAGAGAGCCUAAGCCGCGUGAGUGGAGUCGCGCCGCCGGAGAGCCGUAAGCCGCGUGAGUGGAGUCGCGCCGCCAGGGAGCCGUAAGACGCGUGAAUGGAGUCGCGCCGCCAGAGAGCCGUAAGCCGCGUGAGCUGGAGUCGUAGCUGGGAUCCGAGGGAUCCAUCCGCAACAGAGGAGGUGAUGCCGGACGAGCACGUGAACCAACAAAUUGGACCUUAGUCAGGUUGGUGGAAUGAGUGUGGCUGGAGUUGGCGCCAGUGGGGGGGGUCGCGUUGUGGGGGGAUUCCUGCCGGCUCCUCCUUGGAGGACCGGAUGCCUCACCCACUCCGGAUCCUAACCAUAACCUCAGAGGGGUCCAGCCCUAACCUUAAAUUUGGAUCUGCGCAACCCCAGUUACGCCAUUAAAUUCGGGGAAUAACCCGAACCCUAGGGCCUCUCCCAAUGGGGCGAAAAAUUCAAAAACUCAAAAAAGAAAGGAGAAAUCACUCAAAGACUAAAAGAGUAAAGAACAGAAGCAAAAUAACUCAAAAAAGAAAAGAGAAAUCACUCAAACACUAAAAGAGUAAAGAACAGAAGCAAAAUAACUCAAAAAAGAAAAGAGAAAUCACUCAAACACUAAAAGAGUAAAGAAUAGAAGCGGAACCAAAAACAAGCGGAACCAAAAAACAAGCCCAACAAGAGGGGACGGAAAAGAGUGGAACGCAGACAGGAAAUGACUAAGCGGAAAACACAAACAAGGAAGUGGAGUGGAGAUGACCAAGCGGGAAACACAAACACAGAAGAGGAACCAAAAGACCAACAGAGGAACCAAAACAAACCACAAUUGAAGAAAAGCAACGGAAAGAGGAACAGCUACGAGACAGAAUAAACAAGAGAAGAUUUUGUUUGAAAGAAAAGCAUCUUGGGGAAACGACAAACGGAAGGACAAGAAGUCCAACAGACACAGUGAGUAAGCAGUGCCUGAAGAAGGCUAAACCAAGCCGAAACGUCGCGCGCGAAAAGCUUACUCGGGGGAAUGAUGCUGGACUGAUGUGGGGGGUGCCAUUAAAUGUAUAUGUGUAUGUAUUUAUUUUGGGGCGGACAUGCCAUUUUUUAUUUGAUGGACAGGGGGCGCCAAAUUUGGUUAGGGGAAUGGUGAAAAGACAAAGAAAGAUGUGGAACUAAAAUAAAUUGAACCUAAAUUAAGGAGGAAUUGAACCUAAAUUAAGGAUAAGAAAGAACAAAAUGAUACCAAAGUCAAAAUGAGGACAGACAAACUUAAAACCUAAAUUUGGAGGAUGGACGGAACAAAUUGUAAUUAAUGGAAGGAGGUUGGCACGCCAAAUUCGGCUAAUUAGAAGACAAAUAAAAUGAAAAGUCUAAAUUUAGAAAACUAAGAAAAACAAAACAAAGACAAAAAGUCACAAACAUAAAGUCAAAUAAGGACAAAGGGUGAUCAAAAGCAAUUUUAUUCACAAAAAAACAAAUGGAAGUCAAAUAAGACAAAAAUUAAAGUCAAAUAAGGACACAGGAUGAUCAAAAGCAACAAAAAACAAACUGAAGUCAAACAAGACAAAAAAUAAAGUCGAAUAAGGACACAGAGUGAUCAAAAGCAAUUUUAUUAACAAAAAAACAAAUGGAAGUCAAACAAGACAAAAAAUAAAGUCAAAUAAGGACACAGGGUGAUAACAAAAGACAAAUUGAAGUCAAAUAAGACAAAAAGGUCAAAACAAACAUAAAACCAAAUACGGAACAAUUGAAGUCAAAUAAGACAACAAAAAGGUCAAAACAAACAUAAAACCAAAUUGAAGUAACUCAAAUCAGAGUACAUUAAAGGGGAAUUCUUCCGCGUGUCUCAGUGGUGGGGCCGGGCGGUUGCGUAGUGUGGAGCUUGGGGGAUGGACAGUGCAUUUCCUUCCUCUCGGGGGCGCUCGCGUCCCCAGAGGGGGAGGCUCGGAUUCCCUUCCCUAACCUCGCCAGUGCCUCCCCCUUGCUCUCUUCUGCCCGAACCCCUCCCUUGGAUCCCGCGCCAUUGGCCUGGAUUCGGUGGGGUCCCUCGCCUGCGUGCUCGUCCCCCGGCCCUGGCCCUGGUCGCCUUGUCCCGCCUUCCGGACCUUACCUAUUGGAGUCGCGCCGCCAGAGAGCCUAAGCCGCGUGAGUGGAGUCGCGCCGCCGGAGAGCCGUAAGCCGCGUGAGUGGAGUCGCGCCGCCAGGGAGCCGUAAGACGCGUGAAUGGAGUCGCGCCGCCAGAGAGCCGUAAGCCGCGUGAGCUGGAGUCGUAGCUGGGAUCCGAGGGAUCCAUCCGCAACAGAGGAGGUGAUGCCGGACGAGCACGUGAACCAACAAAUUGGACCUUAGUCAGGUUGGUGGAAUGAGUGUGGCUGGAGUUGGCGCCAGUGGGGGGGGUCGCGUUGUGGGGGGAUUCCUGCCGGCUCCUCCUUGGAGGACCGGAUGCCUCACCCACUCCGGAUCCUAACCAUAACCUCAGAGGGGUCCAGCCCUAACCUUAAAUUUGGAUCUGCGCAACCCCAGUUACGCCAUUAAAUUCGGGGAAUAACCCGAACCCUAGGGCCUCUCCCAAUGGGGCGAAAAAUUCAAAAUAACUCAAAAAAGAAAGGAGAAAUCACUCAAAGACUAAAAGAGUAAAGAACAGAAGCAAAAUAACUCAAAAAAGAAAAGAGAAAUCACUCAAACACUAAAAGAGUAAAGAACAGAAGCAAAAUAACUCAAAAAAGAAAAGAGAAAUCACUCAAACACUAAAAGAGUAAAGAACAGAAGCGGAACCAAAAACAAGCGGAACCAAAAAACAAGCCCAACAAGAGGGGACGGAAAAGAGUGGAACGCAGACAGGAAAUGACUAAGCGGAAAACACAAACAAGGAAGUGGAGUGGAGAUGACCAAGCGGGAAACACAAACACAGAAGAGGAACCAAAAGACCAACAGAGGAACCAAAACAAACCACAAUUGAAGAAAAGCAACGGAAAGAGGAACAGCUACGAGACAGAAUAAACAAGAGAAGAUUUUGUUUGAAAGAAAAGCAUCUUGGGGAAACGACAAACGGAAGGACAAGAAGUCCAACAGACACAGUGAGUAAGCAGUGCCUGAAGAAGGCUAAACCAAGCCGAAACGUCGCGCGCGAAAAGCUUACUCGGGGGAAUGAUGCUGGACUGAUGUGGGGGGUGCCAUUAAAUGUAUAUGUGUAUGUAUUUAUUUUGGGGCGGACAUGCCAUUUUUUAUUUGAUGGACAGGGGGCGCCAAAUUUGGUUAGGGGAAUGGUGAAAAGACAAAGAAAGAUGUGGAACUAAAAUAAAUUGAACCUAAAUUAAGGAGGAAUUGAACCUAAAUUAAGGAUAAGAAAGAACAAAAUGAUACCAAAGUCAAAAUGAGGACAGACAAACUUAAAACCUAAAUUUGGAGGAUGGACGGAACAAAUUGUAAUUAAUGGAAGGAGGUUGGCACGCCAAAUUCGGCUAAUUAGAAGACAAAUAAAAUGAAAAGUCUAAAUUUAGAAAACUAAGAAAAACAAAACAAAGACAAAAAGUCACAAACAUAAAGUCAAAUAAGGACAAAGGGUGAUCAAAAGCAAUUUUAUUCACAAAAAAACAAAUGGAAGUCAAAUAAGACAAAAAUUAAAGUCAAAUAAGGACACAGGAUGAUCAAAAGCAACAAAAAACAAACUGAAGUCAAACAAGACAAAAAAUAAAGUCGAAUAAGGACACAGAGUGAUCAAAAGCAAUUUUAUUAACAAAAAAACAAAUGGAAGUCAAACAAGACAAAAAAUAAAGUCAAAUAAGGACACAGGGUGAUAACAAAAGACAAAUUGAAGUCAAAUAAGACAAAAAGGUCAAAACAAACAUAAAACCAAAUACGGAACAAUUGAAGUCAAAUAAGACAACAAAAAGGUCAAAACAAACAUAAAACCAAAUUGAAGUAA